rnacentral:rRNA from 1 species
UACGUAGGGUGCAAGCGUUGUCCGGAAUUAUUGGGCGUAAAGAGCUCGUAGGCGGCUUGUCGCGUCGAAUGUGAAAUCCCGAGGCUCAACCCCGAGCCUGCAGUCGAUACGGGCAGACUAGAGUGCGUGUAGGGGAGACUGGAAGUUCCUGGUGUAGCGGUGAAAUGCGUAGAUAUCAGGAGGAACACCUGUGGUGUAGACAGCUUACUGGACCAUUUCUGACGCUGAGACACGAAAGCGUGGGUAGCAAACAGG